rnacentral:rRNA from 1 species
GACGAACGCUGGCGGCAUGCCUAACACAUGCAAGUCGAACGAGACCUUCCGGCCUUUGUGCGCACGUGUACUUACGGCGUGGGAACCUGCCCUUGAGUUCGGAAUAACUCCCCGAAAGGUAUCCUAAUACCAGUGGAUGUCUUCCGGGCAAAGAUUUAUCGCCUUUGGAUGGGCGCUCGUUGGAUUAGGUAGUUGGUAGGGUAAAAGCAUACCAUGGGGACGAUGCAUAGCUGGUCUGAGAGGAGGAUCAGCAACAAUGGGAAUGAGACACGGCCCAGACCCCUACGGGAGGCAGCAGUGGGGAACAUUGGAGACGGAGCGAUGGCGUGACACAGCCAUGCGGCGUGAGUGAUGAAGGGCUUAGGGUUGUAAAGUCCUCUUAGCCGGGAUGAUAAUGACAGUACCGGGAGAAUAAGCUCCGGCUAACUACGUG